rfam:Streptomyces alboflavus strain MDJK44, complete genome.
GCCUUCGUAGCUCAGGGGAUAGAGCACCGCUCUCCUAAAGCGGGUGUCGCAGGUUCGAAUCCUGCCGGGGGCA